GACGUAGGGCGCGAGCGUUGUCCAGAUUUAUUGGGCGUAAAGAGCUCGUAGGCGGCUCGUUGCGUCGGCUGUGAAAACCCGCAGCUCAACUGUGGCUUGCAGCCGAUACGGGCGGCGUGGGAUUCGGUAGGGGAGACUGGAAUUCCUGGUGUAGCGGUGAAAUGCGUGAGAUAUCAGGAGGAACACCGGUGGUGUAGACGGCUUUCUGGACCGUAACUGACGCUGAAACACGAAAGCGUGGGUAGCAAACAGG
rnacentral:rRNA from 1 species